AGGGUUCGAUUAUGGCUCAGGAUGAACGCUGGCGGCGUGCUUAACACAUGCAAGUCGAACGAAGCGCUUUAUUCAGAUUCUUUCGGGAUGAUGAAUUUAGUGACUUAGUGGCGGACGGGUGAGUAACGCGUGGGUAACCUGCCUUACACAGGGGGAUAACAGUUAGAAAUGACUGCUAAUACCGCAUAAAACAGCAGCACCGCAUGGUGCAACUGUCAAAGAUUUAUCGGUGUAAGAUGGACCCGCGUCUGAUUAGCCAGUUGGUGGGGUAACGGCCUACCAAAGCGACGAUCAGUAGCCGACCUGAGAGGGUGACCGGCCACAUUGGGACUGAGACACGGCCCAA
rnacentral:rRNA from 1 species